rnacentral:rRNA from 1 species
UGGGGAAUAUUGCACAAUGGGCGCAAGCCUGAUGCAGCCAUGCCGCGUGUAUGAAGAAGGCCUUCGGGUUGUAAAGUACUUUCAGCGGGGAGGAAGGGAGUAAAGUUAAUACCUUUGCUCAUUGACGUUACCCGCAGAAGAAGCACCGGCUAACUCCGUGCCAGCAGCCGCGGUAAUACGGAGGGUGCAAGCGUUAAUCGGAAUUACUGGGCGUAAAGCGCACGCAGGCGGUUUGUUAAGUCAGAUGUGAAAUCCCCGGGCUCAACCUGGGAACUGCAUCUGAUACUGGCAAGCUUGAGUCUCGUAGAGGGGGGUAGAAUUACAGGGGUAGCGGUGAAAUGCGUAGAGAUCUGGAGGAAUACCGGUGGCGAAGGCGGCCCCCUGGGCGAAGACUGACGAUCAGGUGCGAAAGCGUGGGGAGCAAACAGG